UACGGAGGAUGCAAGCGUUAUCCGGAUUCAUUGGGUUUAAAGGGUGCGUAGGCGGCUUUUUAAGUCAGUGGUGAAAUCUUGCCGCUUAACGGUAAAAUUGCCAUUGAUACUGAAGAGCUUGAGUACAAUUGAGGUAAGCGGAAUGUGUAGUGUAGCGGUGAAAUGCUUAGAUAUUACACAGAACACCAAUUGCGAAGGCAGCUUACUAAACUGUCACUGACGCUGAUGCACGAAAGCGUGGGGAGCGAACAGGAUUAGAUACCCUGGUAGU
rnacentral:rRNA from 1 species